AACACAUGCAAGUCGAACGGAGCUGGUAUCUUUUAAGUUGUCGGAUGGAAGAGAGUUCAACUUAGGGGCGAAGGGGGGAAUAACGCGUGAGCAACCUGCCUUUCAGUGGGGGACAACAUUUGGAAACGAAUGCUAAUACCGCAUAAGACCACAGUGUCUCAUGGCACAGGGGUCACAGGAUUUAUCCGCUGAAAGAUGGGCUCGCGUCCGAUUACCUAGAUGGUGAGGUAACAGCCCACCAUGGCGACGAUCGGUAACCGGACUGACAGGUUGAACGGCCACAUUGGGACUGAUACACGGCCCAGACUCCUACAGGAGGCAGCAGUGGGGAAUAUUGCGCAAUGGCCGAAACCCUGAUGCAACGACGCCGCGCGGAGGAAGAAGGUCUUCCGAUUGUAAACUCCUGUCCCAAGGGACGAUAAUGACGGUACCCUGGGAGGAAGCAACGACUAACUACGUGCCUCCAGCCGCGGUAAAACGUAAGGAGCAAGCGUUGUCCGGAAUUACUGAGUGUAAAGGGAGCGCAGGCGGAUUGGCAAGUUGGGAGUGAAAUCUAUGGGCUCAACCCAUAAAUUGCUUUCAUAACUGUCAGUCUUGAAUGCUGUAGAGGUAGGCGGAAUUCCCGGUGUAGCGGUGUAAUGCGUAGAUAUCGAGAGGAACACCAGUGGCGAAGGCGGCCUACUGGGCACUAACUGACGCAGAGGCUCGAAAGCAUGGGUAGCAAACAGGAUUAGAUACUAUUGUAGUCCAUACAGUAAAUGAUGAUUGAUAGGUGUGGGAGGAUUGACGCCUUCCGUAGCGCAGUUAACACAAUAAGUAAUUCACGUGGGGAGUACGACGGCAAGAAUGAAAAUCAAAGGAAUUGACGGGGCACAACACAAGCAGCAGAGUAUGUGGUUUAAUUCGAAGCAACGAGAAGAACCUUAUCAG
rnacentral:rRNA from 1 species